GCUCCCUUCAACCUUGCACUGGGGAAAGCAGCCCCUGUUUGCACAGAGUUCUGAAUUGUUCAAGGAACGAAGUCCUCUCUGGAAGGUAGAAAAACAGGAAGAGUCCCAAGGAAUUGCCGAGGCAAAGUGAACCACAAUGCAGAAUAUGAAUGAUGUCAUCCCGGGAGGACCUCACGAAGGGGAAUUCCAGGUCAGAUGCUCCGCCUCUGUGAAGACCCAUGACCAGUCUCAAGCCGCGGUCUAGCCUGCUAACCAGCUCCCUGACGUAGCGAACACAGGCACAUCUGGGUGACAGAGGGGAUGCUGAAGGGACAGAGGAGCCAGAGGGGGACCCACAGACGGCUCUGCCAGCCAGUGCGCUUUCAACACUGGAACAACUUGCUCUGGAUUGUCUGAGAUCACAUCUCCCCAUCUUCGUUUUUCUCUUCUAGACUUUGCAAUAUAAUAAAUACAAUAUUUUAAAUAGUUUCUCAUAAAA